UACGUAGGGGGCAAGCGUUGUCCGGAUUCAUUGGGCGUAAAGAGCGUGUAGGCGGCCAGGUAGGUCGGUUGUGAAAACUGGAGGCUCAACCUUCAGAGGUCGACCGAAACCAUCUGGCUAGAGUCCGGGAGAGGAGAGUGGAAUUCCUGGUGUAGCGGUGAAAUGCGCAGAUAUCAGGAGGAACACCGAUGGCGAAGGCAGGUCACUGGGCCGCAACUGACGCUGAGGAGCGAAAGCAUGGGGAGCGAACAGG
rnacentral:rRNA from 1 species